rnacentral:lncRNA from 1 species
AUGGGCAGUACCCAGUGAUAUUGGUGGGGAGAGGACGAAAAGAGGAGAAAGGUGGCCCCGCCCAUGCUCCCGCUCCCAACCCUCUGCCGCACUGCAGUUGCGGUCAGGAGUCGUUUGUGGCUGUGCGCCGGCUCGCUGUUGCCUUGAAGGCGGGCAAGUCUUGGGAAGGAGGAAGUCGUAGGAGCUGA